rnacentral:rRNA from 1 species
UACAGAGGGUGCGAGCGUUAAUCGGAAUUACUGGGCGUAAAGCGUGCGUAGACGGCUAUCUAAGUCGGGUGUGAAAGCCCCGGGCUCAACCUGGGAAUUGCAUUCGAGACUGAAUAGCUAGGGUACGGUAGAGGGAAGCGGAAUUUCCGGUGUAGCGGUGAAAUGCGUAGAUAUCGGAAGGAACAUCAGUGGCGAAAGCGGCUUCCUGGACCAGUACCGACGUUCAGGCAUGAAAGCGUGGGGAGCAAACAGG